GUUCAUGCGCUUACUGAAUCUUCAUUUUCUUUCUCAGGUGUGACCGUUCGUUCGACAAGUGAAGCCGGAAGAGUCAGUGAUCAACCACGUUGUCCAGGUGCCUCAAUGUCCAACAGCUCAUCUACCCCCCUUGACCUGCAGCCUGUCAUGGGCUCAAUGAAGGCAUUUACCCCAGUGCAGGGUGGCGCUGGAUCCCUCAAGUGCUUGCAUGGCGGUUGAAGGGCUACCCUGAAGCAUUUGGACGAAGCUGAGCUUGUCUCUAAUCUUCUGGACCAAUCACCAUGUAGCUAGUGGGACCACUGAGGAACCCACAUCUAUUGGAUGAGGAGGCCUAUCCAAGAACAGAAUAGCUUCUUGGGUCAGUCGGCAGUUUUGCAUCAUGGUGUGCACUUGAAACAACUGAAGGUUCAGGCCAUGGACCCUGUGCAUAUUCUGGUGUGACCGUUCAACUGGAGUUUCAGGCCAUGGACCCUGUGCAUAUUCUGAAUUCAUGGAUGCGGCGGCUGUAACAUCAACUGUGAACACAGCUGAGAAGGUUUUGACUCCAACUUAACCACAGCUCUGGCCCUAUUCAUCUAGAAAAGGGGCACUCUUAACGUUUCCAAGCCACAUGGAGAGACGUUCACAUCGGCGUCUGUACUUUGACAUUCUCAUUGAGUUGCCUUAAUUUGUUUAAAGCAUCCAGUUCUUGUACUGUUUACAAUGUAGAUGUGCUUUUCUGAUAUGAACUUCUAACUGUUUUCGUUUCUAAUGCCAAUAAAACAUGUACUUGCAAAACA